ensembl:piRNA 21ur-259 ncRNA
UAAUCCGUUUCUGUAUAACAU